UCCUCUGGGCCUCUGCUCACAGACCUUCCAUCAAGAAAUUCACUACAGUGUGUUGGAACAGUCUAUGUACCUGACUACCCCACAAGGCUGUUGUAAGGAUCAAAUGGCAUCAUGAAUGGAGGGUACCAAGUCCUGCACCCAGCCUGCAGUGACUAGCACCUGCUCCCUGCUGAACAUGGUGGCUGGGGCUGGACAUGGUCCUUGGGGGUGUGAUCUGAGCAGCCUGCAGCAUUCUGGGCCUUUCAACUGCUGCAUCCUGGUACCAGUCUCAUGCUUCCUGGUACCCUACAGAUGGCUGUCUCCUGGUGGAGUCACCAGGUUGGAGGGGUCCUCAGAAUGCCAACAGAACAGAGCAGCCCUGAGCUCCGGCACCUGUCACUGUGGCUUGACUGAAUACAUAUCUCCAGACCAAGUCUCUUCUCAGAUUUAUUUUUCUCUUUUUUUCCUCCCACUGGGGACAAAUAGCUUCCAUUCCUGAAGGGAAGUUGCCUGCUUGGAGACGGACAGAGGAAGAUAUUUGGGUUCAGCUUAUCCCCUCUGGGCACUUUGGGGGAAGCAGCAUGGGUUGGGG
rnacentral:lncRNA from 1 species